rnacentral:rRNA from 1 species
GGGGGGGGGGGGGGGGGGGGGGGGGGGGGGGGGGGGGGGCGGGGGGGGCGUGGGGGGGGGGGGUGGUGGGGGGGCGAGCGGGUGGGGGGCCCGUGGGUAGGGUGCCCUGGGCGUUGGGGUCACUUCAGGGAACUGGGGGGACUACAGGGUAGGAGCCCCUGCUGCAUGGUGGGGGUUGGGAAGAUGCGGCGGUUGGGGGUGGACUCGCCGCCUCUCAGCUUGUUGGGGGGGUAGUGGCGUACCAAGGCUGUGACGGUUAGCCGGCCUGAGGGGGUGACCGGCCACAGUGGGACUGAGAUACGGCCCAGACUCCUACGGGAGGCAGCAGUGGGGAAUAUUGCACAAUGGGCGGAAGCCUGAUGCAGCAACGCCGCGUGCGGGAUGACGGCCUUCGGGUUGUAAACCGCUUUCGCCUGUCACGAAGCGUGAGUGACGGUAAUGGGUAAAGAAGCACCGGCUAACUACGUG